CCUUCCGGUUGCAGCCUGAGUAAUUAGGCUGAUGGCUGGUGACUUUUUAGUCACCAGCCU
rnacentral:sRNA from 1 species